rnacentral:rRNA from 1 species
CUGGCGGCGGCCUAACACAUGCAGUCGAGCGGUAGCACAGAGAGCUUGCUCUCGGGUGACGAGCGGCGGACGGGUGAGUAAUGUCUGGGAAACUGCCUGAUGGAGGGGGAUAACUACUGGAAACGGUAGCUAAUACCGCAUAAUGUCGCAAGACCAAAGUGGGGGACCUUCGGGCCUCAUGCCAUCAGAUGUGCCCAGAUGGGAUUAGCUAGUAGGUGGGGUAACGGCUCACCUAGGCGACGAUCCCUAGCUGGUCUGAGAGGAUGACCAGCCACACUGGAACUGAGACACGGUCCAGACUCCUACGGGAGGCAGCAGUGGGGAAUAUUGCACAAUGGGCGCAAGCCUGAUGCAGCCAUGCCGCGUGUGUGAAGAAGGCCUUCGGGUUGUAAAGCACUUUCAGCGGGGAGGAAGGCGAUAAGGUUAAUAACCUUGUCGAUUGACGUUACCCGCAGAAGAAGCACCGGCUAACUCCGUGCCAGCAGCCGCGGUAAUACGGAGGGUGCAAGCGUUAAUCGGAAUUACUGGGCGUAAAGCGCACGCAGGCGGUCUGUCAAGUCGGAUGUGAAAUCCCCGGGCUCAACCUGGGAACUGCAUUCGAAACUGGCAGGCUAGAGUCUUGUAGAGGGGGGUAGAAUUCCAGGUGUAGCGGUGAAAUGCGUAGAGAUCUGGAGGAAUACCGGUGGCGAAGGCGGCCCCCUGGACAAAGACUGACGCUCAGUGCGAAAGCGUGGGGAGCAAACAGGAUUAGAUACCCUGGUAGUCCACGCCGUAAACGAUGUCGAUUUGGAGGUUGUGCCCUUGAGGCGUGGCUUCCGGAGCUAACGCGUUAAAUCGACCGCCUGGGGAGUACGGCCGCAAGGUUAAAACUCAAAUGAAUUGACGGGGGCCCGCACAAGCGGUGGAGCAUGUGGUUUAAUUCGAUGCAACGCGAAGAACCUUACCUGGUCUUGACAUCCACAGAACUUUCCAGAGAUGGAUUGGUGCCUUCGGGAACUGUGAGACAGGUGCUGCAUGGCUGUCGUCAGCUCGUGUUGUGAAAUGUUGGGUUAAGUCCCGCAACGAGCGCAACCCUUAUCCUUUGUUGCCAGCGGUUAGGCCGGGAACUCAAAGGAGACUGCCAGUGAUAAACUGGAGGAAGGUGGGGAUGACGUCAAGUCAUCAUGGCCCUUACGACCAGGGCUACACACGUGCUACAAUGGCAUAUACAAAGAGAAGCGACCUCGCGAGAGCAAGCGGACCUCAUAAAGUAUGUCGUAGUCCGGAUUGGAGUCUGCAACUCGACUCCAUGAAGUCGGAAUCGCUAGUAAUCGUAGAUCAGAAUGCUACGGUGAAUACGUUCCCGGGCCUUGUACACACCGCCCGUCACACCAUGGGAGUGGGUUGCAAAAGAAGUAGGUAGCUUAACCUUCGGGAGGGCGCUUACCACUUUGUUCCC